CUACGGGAGGCAGCAGUGGGGAAUCUUGCGCAAUGGGCGAAAGCCUGACGCAGCAACGCCGCGUGGGGGAUGAAGGCUCUCGGGUUGUAAACCUCUUUCAGCGGGGACGAAGCGAGAGUGACGGUACCCGCAGAAGAAGCCCCGGCCAACUACGUGCCAGCAGCCGCGGUAAU
rnacentral:rRNA from 1 species